GUUGGUGGCGGCACAGCCGAAGUUGAGGUCUUGCCAUUUGAUUACUCAGUCGAGAAUCACAUCAAGGAGAUGGACAUGAUCGCCAGGCUCUGUUGGGAGGAGGGUGGUAUAGUUGAAGACAGCGAGAUUGCGAGGUUGUCAUCUUCCUUAACGUUCAUAAGGGAAUGGAGAUUCUUUAAUUACGAACCUCGGGUCGUCGAGUUUUCAUCCCAAACGUGUAGUGCAGCGGACGAAGGUGCUCUAGGACCCAUACGUUAUCGCAGUUCUCAUCUUCAACUCUUCCCGAGAUGCACAAUAUAAAGGAUCAGGGAAGUGCGACAGCGGAACAAUGGAAAGAUUUUGCUAUGUACGUUGGGGGUCCUGUCCGGGCGUUGGAUUGGUUUCCCAGAUAUGGAAAACAUGACUUCCAUAUUAAACAGGGCGUUGAUUAUUAUCAUUAUUAUUAUUUAAAUUCGGUUAUCACCUGUUAUUUAAUGAUAGCAUCUAAAUUCUAUAUCAUUUACUUCUGGCAAAUAUCAUAGCGAGCCCUUUCAUUGAA